GACUUCAUUCUCUCUUCAUUUAAAAAAAAAAGAGAGAGGAUGCUUUCUCUCAAACUCUCUCCCCCUUUGCAAUUUCCGAUCAUUGGACCGGCCAUCGGCAGCCACAAUUGCCGCCGGUCGUCAGCGACCAGAAAAAUCAAAAUUUCCCUUUUUCGGCGAUUGAAAAAAAAUAGGUGGAUGGGUAGUGCUAACACGGGUGGUGGAGAUGAUAGUGGCGGUACUGACAUGAUAGAGGCAGCAGUGGCAGUGGCGGCUAGCAACUAGGGUUUUCCUUUUUUUAUUUUUUUGUUUAUUAAUUUGGGCUGCUAGGGUUAGGUUAUUUAGGCCUUUGCUUGUUGGGUUUGUAAUUGAGUUUGGUUUUUGUUUUGUAAAAAAAUAGAUUGAAUGAUUUUGAGCCCAGGCAAAAUUUAGGUUUUACACCUAUGCUCGAUUGUAAGGCUGUCAUAUUCGUGAAUAGACCUGAGAAAUUGAUCGAUAUACAAUUGUAUUAGAAGGUUAUGAGUUUACUCAUAAUUGUAUAUAUUUUAGUUGGUGCUUUUACUCUAUGUUGUUGAAAAUAAAAAAAGAAAAGAUAUGGUCUUUAGGGAGGACAAUAAA